rnacentral:lncRNA from 1 species
CCGGCCUGCUUUAUUACUCUGAAGUGAAAUUAAUAGGCUACUUUCCCUUGCCUGCAGUUCUUUUGAAAGAUAAAAAUAUUGAACUUGCCUUACCACCUUGUGCUGCUCCACAUGCUCACAGGAAUAAUAUUCUCAGAUCAAGAGAGUUCCUCGGAGUAGUUGAGGCCAGAGGUAGCUGUGCAGUUUAAGGAGACUAAAGCCAGCAGUAUGUGGCAGCUUUGACUGAUGCAUGAUGCAUUGGAAGACACCACUUAAAGAAUCCAGAAAAUAAUUG